CAGCUUUAACAUAAACCGGAGUGCAGUUACACGAAACUACUCAGAGAAAUCCAUCAACUCCAUCCUUGAUUACAUCUCUACGUCUAAGCAGAUGGACUUGCUGCAAGAGUUUUAUGAAACCACAUUGGACGCAUUAAAGGAUGCCAAAAAUGACAGGCUUUGGUUUAAAACCAACACUAAGCUUGGGAAGUUGUACCUGGAGAGAGAAGAGUAUGGUAAGCUUCAGAAGAUCCUGAGGCAGCUGCACCAGUCCUGUCAGGUGAAGAAACACUCCUCAUCAAUGCAAUCAGAGGUUUUCACAGAGGUUUUACCACCAAAUCUAAUUCAGCAUUAUAACAUCAUAAUGAAAAACAUACUUGUGUGUUCUUAGUGACAGUAGAAUGGAACUGUAUUGUAUCAUUGUAGCCUGGUCCGAGUUUUGUUUGCGCUGUAUAGACAACUUCUAUAGCUGUUGUCAUGACCACAGGAGUCAAGACGGCACAAACAGAUCUGGGGCCGGGCUAGUAUGGCUGUGGAUUGUGGAAAUCUAGAAUUCCCUGUUUCUCCUCAAGUGUCUGUGGAAUUAUAUCUCUAGUAUUUGUUAUGUCUUGGUGUAUAGACGGAUGAUUAGUAUUUGUCCCAUGUUCUGUCUUGGUGUAUAGACGGAUGAUUAGUAUU